rnacentral:lncRNA from 1 species
CUAGAGAGACAGUCUGUGACUGAGUCUGCCUGGCUACCAGCUACUCUGACCGGCUUUGCACAACUGGUGUUUGAACAGAGACUGACGUUGAUCUGAUAUUGCCAGGAAUGAUCCAGUUUGAUGGAGUCUUUUUGAUAUCAGAGCCUCUGCUGAUGAUCGAGGUCAGGGAGGGAGGAAUCUGUUAGCUCAACUUGCCACAAGGAGUUCAGAGGAGAAGAAGAUUCUGCUUCUUAAAGGCUGGACUGUGAAUUGGAGAGAGCCUCUGAAUGAAGGAACUUAGGUACAAAGAAGUAAGACUUGCCUAAGGUCACACCGGUGGACGCUAGUCAUUGGAUUUAGAGCACACCCUACUCCAGGAUAAUCUCAUCUAGAGAUCUUUACCUUAAUGAUAUCGACAAAGACUUAUUCCAAAUAAGAUCACAGUGUGAGGUUUCAGGGGAACAUGAAUUACUGGAGGACACUAUUCAACCCAUUACAAGAGCCUGCACUCCCUCUUAAGAUCUGAUGACUGAUUUAGCUUUUCUGGCUCCCGGCCACUGUUCUCCUUGGCUACACUAUUCCUCACCCUCAGCUGUUGCAACUCUGCGCCACUCUGAGUACCCUCUGGCCGAGCCCCCGUCCCUGACUUGUCCACGUGGAGGAGAAGUGCUUCCUGGAGGAGAUCGCCACACGAGGAGGAAAUCUGAGGCCCAGGGGAAAAGUUAGCUUCUGCGGCUGGAGAGACGGAGCUGAGGAAGGGAGCUGGUGGAACUUACUGAGGAGGGCGACUUUAGCAUUUCCUUUAAUAUAAUUCUGUAG